rnacentral:rRNA from 1 species
CUAGGUGGAACAUAGCUCAUCGAAAGAUGGGGUAAUAUUCCAUGGUACCGCAAGGUUAAAGGGCUUAACUGCCCGCCAAGAGAUGAGCCUGCGUCCUAUCAGCUUGUUGGUGGGGUAAAAGCCUACCAAGGCGAUGACGGGUAGCUGGACUGAGAGGUCGAUCAGCCACAACUGCACUGAGACACGGGCAGUACACCUACGGGUGGCAGCAACCAGGAAUAUUGGACAAUGGACGAAAGUCUGAUCCAGCGACGCCGCGUGGAGGAUGAAGGCCCUCGGGUUGUAAACUCCUUUUGAUAGUCCCUUCACGGACUAUAGAAUAAGCCUCUACUAACUACGUGCCAGAAGUCUCGGUAAUACGUAGGAGGCAAGCGUUAUCCGGAUUCAUUGGGCGUAAAGUGUGCGUAGGCUCCUUAAAUAGUCGUACCUUAAAUACCAAGGCUUACCCUUGGAACUGGGUACGAUACUUUUAAGGUUGAGGAUUGUCAGGGGUACUGGAACAGUUAGUGUAGCAGUGAAAUGCGUUGAUAUUAACUGGAACACCAAAGGCGAAGGCAAGUACCUGGGAUUUUCCUGACGCUGAGGCACGAAAGCCAGGGGAGCGAAACAGAUUAGAUACCUGUGUAGUCCUAGCCGUAAACGAUGUCUGCUAGCUUUUUCGCGUCUAACGCGACGAGGCGUAAGCUAACGCGUUAAGCAGACCGCCUGGGGAGUACGGCCGCAAGGCUAAAACUCAAAGGAAUUGACGGGGACCCGCACAACCGGUGGAGCGUGUGGUUCAAUUCGAGACAAAACGAAAAACCUCACCAGGACUUGACAUGAUACCGUACAUUUUUCCAGAAAUGGAGAGAAAUCCGCAAGGAUGGUACCACAGGUGCUGCAUGGCUAUUUUGAAAGAUGGCCACUCCGAUGGUAACAUCGGAAAAAAAUAACCAACCCAAAACGGUGAAGCCCUAAUUGAUUUAAGUAUGUUUUUAAAUUAUGCUUUUAGCAAUGGGUAAUACCGUGGGAAGUAAGUUUUUCUUUAGAACAUAAAGAAAUCUUACAGAAAAAAAUAUUGCAAGAAAUUGCUAAAUAUUCUGUGAGACUUGCCCCGUAGAGACUGAGUUCUUUCAUAAGGA